GACGAACGCUGGCGGCGUGCUUAACACAUGCAAGUCGAGCGGUAAGGCCCUUUCGGGGGUACACGAGCGGCGAACGGGUGAGUAACACGUGGGUGACCUGCCCUCAGCUCUGGGAUAAGCCCGGGAAACUGGGUCUAAUACCGGAUAUGACCUCUCAUCGCAUGGUGGGUGGUGGAAAGUCGGUGUCAUUGAUGCCGGCGGUUGGGGAUGGGCCCGCGGCCUAUCAGCUUGUUGGUGGGGGAUGGCCUACCAAGGCGACGACGGGUAGCCGGCCUGAGAGGGCGACCGGCCACACUGGGACUGAGACACGGCCCAGACUCCUACGGGAGGCAGCAGUGGGGAAUCUUGCGCAAUGGGCGAAAGCCUGACGCAGCGACGCCGCGUGA
rnacentral:rRNA from 1 species